rnacentral:lncRNA from 1 species
CCAACUUGAAUGCUUCCUGAUUAAAUAUAUACAGGAGUGAUUUCAGAGGAAUUUAAGUUUUGGAUCAUUCUUUUGAGAAAGAAAGAAAAGUACCCUUUUAAAAGAGGUGGCUCUUGAACAACACAGGUUUGAACUGCAUCAUUCCACUUAUACACAGACUUUCUUCUGCCACUGCCACUCCUGAGACAACAUGACCAAUCUCUCCCCUUCCUCCUCCUCAGCGUACUUUCAACAUAAAGACGACGAGGAUAAAGGCAUUUAUGAUGAACUACUUCCACAUAAUGAAUAAUUGAACAAAGGAGAGAAUUGUGAGAGUGAGAAAAAGUGAGACAAAGAAGAAAAACUAUAAAUCAGCAAAAUACAGUGCCAAGAGCUCUGGACCACAAAUCAGAAGACCUGAGCCCUAAUUCCUUUCCAGUCAUUGGAUUUGUUCGUCGCUUGCCAAAAUAGCAGCGAACUCUCUGUCAAACUGCAACUCAUUUUAUCGGAGCAAAAACUGAACAAAGAACUGCUAUCAUUUCUGAGGUCAGAGGCAGUGCAGCUUGUGUUACAACUCAAAAGAGUAAUACUCUGAAAAAAGAAAAAAAAAGAUGGCGCUGAAAAUAAACAUGUUCAGCAGCCAUUGUGAUUCAACUUACCCAGAUGUGCUUUUCAUGAGAUGGAGAAGGACGGAUGGAAAAGAAAAGCACACAAAUGUUAAUGGAUACAGUUCAAUCCAAAGAAAACCAUGGAAUAAAACAAGAGCAUUAUUUAAGAUGUGA